ensembl:lncRNA
AUGUAACAUCACAACAUGUAUGUAACUGUCGUAGUAUGUAACAUCACAUCAUGUAUGUAACUGUAGUAGUAUGUAACAUCACAACAUGUAUGUAACAUCACAUCAUGUAUGUAACAUCACAACAUGUAUGUAACUGUAGUAGUAUGUAACAUCACAUCAUGUAUGUAACUGUAGUAGUAUGUAACAUCACAACAUGUAUGUAACAUCACAUCAUGUAUGUAACAUCACAUGUAUGUAACUGUAGUAGUAUGUAACAUCACAUCAUGUAUGUAACUGUAGUAGUAUGUAACAUGUAUGCAACUUUAGUAGUAUGUAACAUUAUGUAUGUAACUGUAAUAGUAUGUAACAUGUAUGUAACUUUAGUAGUAUGUAACAUGUAUGUAACAUUAUGUAUGCAACUGUAGUAGUAUGUAACAUCACAUCAUGUAUGUAGCAGCAUGUAUGUAACUGUAGUAGUAUGUAACAUGUAUGUAACAUCACGUAUGUAACUGUAGUAGUAUGUAACAUCACGUAUGUAACUGUAGUAGUAUGUAACAUCAUGUAUGUAACUGUAGUAGUAUGUAACAUCACGUAUGUAACAUCAUGCAUGUAACUGUAGUAGUAUGUAACAUGUAUGUAACUGUAGUAGUAUGUAACAUGUAUGUAACAUCACGUAUGUAACUGUAGUAGUAUGUAACAUCACGUAUGUAACUGUAGUAGUAUGUAACAUCAUGUAUGUAACUGUAGUAGUAUGUAACAUCACAUAAUGUAUGUAACUGUAGUAGUAUGUAACAUCAUGCAUGUAACUGUAGUAGUAUGUAACAUGUAUGUAACUGUAGUAGUAUGUAACAUCACAUAUGUAACUGUAGUAGUAUGUAACAUCACAUAUGUAACUGUAGUAGUAUGUAACAUCAUGUAUGUAACUGUAGUAGUAUUAUGUAACAUGUAUGUAACUGUAGUAGAAUGUAACAUCACAUAUGUAACUGUAGUAGUAUGUAACAUCAUGUAUGUAACUGUAGUAGUAUGUAACAUGUACGUAACUGUAGUAGUAUGUAACAUGUACGUAACUGUAGUAGUAUGUAACAUGUAUGUAACUGUAGUAGUAUGUAACAUCAUGUAUGUAACUGUAGUAGUAUGUAACAUCACAUAUGUAACUGUAGUAGUAUGUAACAUCAUGUAUGUAACUGUAGUAGUAUGUAAC